rfam:Oryza sativa Indica Group cultivar 93-11 Ctg045368, whole genome shotgun sequence.
AAAAAGAGGAAACCCUGCGUUUCUGUGUCCAACUUUGACUGUCCGUCUUAUAUGAAAAUGGUUUAUAAUUCGUAUUUUCAUUGUUGUUAGAUGAUAAAACAUGAUUAAUAUUUUAUACGUGACUUGUCUUUUUAAUUUUUUUCAUAAUUUUUUUAAAUAAGACGGACGGUCAAACGUUGAGCAUGGAAACCAGGGUUUGUCUUUUC